rnacentral:rRNA from 1 species
AGCGAACGCUGGCGGCAGGCCUAACACAUGCAAGUCGAACGAACCUUUCGGGGUUAGUGGCGGACGGGUGAGUAACACGUGGGAACGUGCCUUUAGGUUCGGAAUAACUCAGGGAAACUUGUGCUAAUACCGAAUGUGCCCUUCGGGGGAAAGAUUAAUCGCCUUUAGAGGGGCCCGCUUCUGAUUAGCUAGUUGGUUGAGGUAAUGGCUCACCAAGGCGACGAUCAGUAGCUGGUCUGAGAGGAUGGUCAGCCACAUUGGGACUGAGACACGGCCCAAACUCCUACGGGAGGCAGCAGUGGGGAAUCUUGCGCAAUGGGCGAAAGCCUGACGCAGCCAUGCCGGGUGAAUGAUGAAGGUCUUAGGAUAGUAAAAUUCUUUCACCGGGGACGAUAAUGACGGUACCCGAAGAAGAAGCCCCGGCUAACUUCGUG